rnacentral:rRNA from 1 species
UACGGAGGAUGCAAGCGUUAUCCGGAAUGAUUGGGCGUAAAGCGUCCGCAGGUGGCGAUGUAAGUCUGCUGUUAAAGAGUGAGGCUCAACCUCAUAAGAGCAGUGGAAACUACAUAGCUAGAGUACGUUCGGGGCAGAGGGAAUUCCUGGUGUAGCGGUGAAAUGCGUAGAGAUCAGGAAGAACACCGGUGGCGAAAGCGCUCUGCUAGGCCGCAACUGACACUCAUGGACGAAAGCUAGGGGAGCGAAUGGG